rnacentral:tRNA from 1 species
GCGACGGUAGUUCAACGGUAGAAUCCCGGCGUGCCAGGCCGGGGGUCCGGGUUCGAUCCCCGGUCGUCGCUCCC